UCCCUGGAGGUCCAGUGACUAGGACUUUGCACUUUCAUUGCCGUGGGCCUGGGUUCAAUCCCUGGUCAGGGAA
rnacentral:tRNA from 1 species